AUGCUCCUCGUCCUCAUCUCAUUCCUGGGGAUACAUUUUUUCCUGGGAGGUGUCCAAGCACAGACAGUUUCUCAGUCCGAUGCCCAUGUCACUGUCUUUGAAGGAGACUCCGUGGAGCUGAGAUGCAAGUAUUCCUAUGGUGGAGCCGUUUACCUCUUCUGGUACAUCCAGCACCAUGGCCAUGGCCUCCAGUUUCUCCUCAAGUACUAUUCAGGGGACCCCGUGGUUCAUGGUAUGAACGGCUUUGAGGCUGAAUUCAGCAAGAGCAACUCUUCCUUCCACCUGAGGAAAGCCUCUGUGCACUGGAGCGACUCGGCUGUGUACUUCUGUGCUCUGAGCGCACAGUGUCUGGGGCUGCAGGGGGAGCUGAUCACAAACCCGUAA